AGCAGUCGCCACGGUAAUACGUAGGUCCCGAGCGUUGUCCGGAUUUAUUGGGCGUAAAGCGAGCGCAGGCGGUUAGAUAAGUCUGAAGUUAAAGGCUGUGGCUUAACCAUAGUACGCUUUGGAAACUGUUUAACUUGAGUGCAAGAGGGGAGAGUGGAAUUCCAUGUGUAGCGGUGAAAUGCGUAGAUAUAUGGAGGAACACCGGUGGCGAAAGCGGCUCUCUGGCUUGUAACUGACGCUGAGGCUCGAAAGUGUGGGGAGCAAACAGGAUUAGAUACCCGUGUAGUCCCUGUCUCUUAUACA
rnacentral:rRNA from 1 species